UCCAUACGAGCGCACCCUUAUUGUUAGUUGCCAGCAUUCAGUUGGGCACUCUAGCGAGACUGCCGGUGAUAAACCGGAGGAAGGUGGGGAUGACGUCAAAUCAUCAUGCCCCUUAUGAGCUGGGCUACACACGUGCUACAAUGGACGGUACAACGAGUUGCGAUCCCGCAAGGGUUAGCGAACCUUUAUAAGCCGUUCUCAGUUCGGAUUGCUCUCCGCAACUCGAGAGCAUGAAGCCGGAAUCGCUAGUAAUCGCGGAUCAGAACGCCGCGGUGAAUACGUUCCCGGGUCUUGUACACACCGCCCGUCACACCACGAGAGUUCGUAACACCCGAAGCCGGUGGAGCAACCCCUUGGGGAGCUAGCCGUCGAAGGUGGGAUGGAUGAUUGGGGUGAAGUCGUAACAAGGUAGCCGUAUCGGAAGGUGCGGCUGGAUCACCUCCUUU
rnacentral:rRNA from 1 species